AAUUCGGUCUUUGAGGACGGCUCCGUGUUCGUAUGACAAGACAAAUGCAGCGGUAACUGAAAUACUCCUCUCCCUCUGCCUUUGUUUGAAAUAUCCACAGCUCCAUGUCGACGCCUGCUAUUGAAACCAAGGGACCGCCACACAUCGGGGACAGAACAAAAACAUUUCGAUGCGGUUCUUAAAAGCCCGUGGCAGGCCGGCACUUUGUUAAAACGUGAGCAAAAAGGCCGCUGACAAGGCCUACCGGGAACAAAGAGGUUUGAAAAGAUGUCCCAAUGAUCUCAAGUCUUCGGCGGUGCAACAUUGUUCCACCAAGUUGAACGAAAGGGCACACUGCUGGAAGCGUCCAGUCACUCUGUGGGGGAGGACUGCUGGAGGGGUCUCAAGAUUCAGCGGACCCAAAAUGAAUGUUGGUGGAGAGAAUGACAUGGAGACCACCAAAAACACAGAAACAAAGGAAUCUUGUGUGGGUUGAGGAGAGCACAAAAGCGGUGAAAUGGCGCCCAUCAUCGAUAUCAGACUACAGUCAUGACAUUUGAGAAGCUUCGGGAGAGGAGCUGCACAAAUCCUCGACUGAAAGACACAAACCCCAACUCAACAUCACAGACGACUUAAGAAUCGAGUGCGGAGGGCUGACUGAAGCAGCAUAUUGUUGUUACACGCGAUUAUUGCCACCUCCCCAGAGUACCAACAAGCAACGUGAACAACACGAGACCAGAAUUCCCCGGUUCAUCCAUAAUGGAUCAAGUGAUGUGCUAGCUGCUCGUAACGGAUCACCCUCGGAAAAGAGGCCUUAAACAACUCGCCGCAUCUUGGCGCUCGUUCCAGCGAGAGGAUCGAGGACCCAUAUGACAAGGAUUGGGAAGCCGAGGCAGAACAAAGCUGCUCAAAUAUUGAUCACUGGGAGAGGUGGGGUGUCUUUGAGGUGUUUAGUCUCAGCCAGACAGCCGCCCGUGGGACUUGGUGGCGGGUUUUAAAGGCUAUGCAGCCAAGAGUGUAAGUGCAGGCAGGCUUCGUGUGCUUUAUCCACCUUCCGCUGUUGAUUCAGGCAGAACAGAAGAGCACAAGUCCUCUGAGGGAAUGGUGCAUCACCAGAACCGCGGCAUUGAUCAGUGAGGAUUGAAUGAGUUGGGUACUGAAAUCAUUGGAGGCCAUCCAACUUACUUUGCCCAAGCCAACUUUUUAUUUCUGCAGGCAUACAAACAAAAUUGUGACAGAGACAGAGUGACUAUCGAGUUGAUUUUAACCUAAUCAAGCACCCAUUAUAUAAAGUGUAAUAUAUUUUACUCUUAACUACCACUAGCCUUACUAAAUGUGUUUGACAAAAACCUGCAAACCUAAAAAAAAAAAAAAGAGAAAUAAAAAUACAUUUAGCAACAUGUUUCACAUUUGGAAUGCCUACAAAUGGUUGUUUUCUGAAGCGUGAACAUGAUGACGGGACACGCAUAUUAUCAGGGGCAGGGUGGAAAAUGAAAGCACUUGCUUGGCUCCACAGCUCAUCUGGCUGUUCUCUAAUUAAACUCAACUUUUUUGAUGAGCCCCCAACUUCUACUACUUCACCUAGGUAAGCUGCCAACGCCGCUCUGCCUGGCUUCCCGUGCUCUCAGAGCUGAUUUGGAUGACUGCCACCGAUUCCCUGCAUGUCAACACAGCAUCAGGUGCAUUUCGACUCAUUCCGUGCCCAUUUCAAAUUUCCAUCCUCGGUACUGCGGGCUGCUGAAGGGCGACGGCUGGCCAAACAUCUCCACUUUGCCAGAGUCCCGGCACAAGCCGCAGAUGCACGCGGGGACACGGGGUCCCUUCACCCUGCUGGCACGAGCCCCGGGCUGGCCAUCUGGUGCUUCAAGAACGGGUGCCAGUCACCCAUCACGCCUGCCCUCCUAUCUUCCUGAAAGACACAGCCCUCCGACGCGAAGGUCCUCGCACCAUCUUCACAGCUCCUCACCGCCUCUCUGCCAACGUACUUAUCUCCCACCGGGGACACUGCCCAAAAAACAGCAGAGUGCCAGCGUGUUAGAGUUGUUCAGAAUCAGCUCGCGUGCGCAAAGUGGAGCCCCGCGCGGAGCUGGGAUGUUCUGAAUAAGUGGACUCGGCUUGCCAUUUUGGCUGCUCCAGAAAAAGAAGAAUGUCUGUUGAAUGGACAAUCACUCGCUUUGUCUUGUCCAUUCAUGCAAUGCUUGAAGAGGCGUAAAUGUAUCGCCGGGGAAGACGGGCUUGUGUCAACACCCGCAUCAAUCCAUCCCCUGUCACUCAAAAGAUGCCAUGAAAGAAACCACAACUGGGAGCAGAGGACGGAGACAUUGAUUUGACUGAUGAAAUUCCCCUACACAUUAGCACGUUCGACGAAGUCCGUCGAUAUCGCGCUCCUCUUCUUUCAGACAGCUUGUACUUUCUCCCAGACGUUUUAAUUUUUCGUCGCAUCAACAAUUGCUUCAUUUGGUGAUAUGAGCUGCCGUUACACUUGUUGUUGUUUGUAAUCAAUGCAAUUAACAAGUCCUUUCUUCUAUCUGACAAGUUGUCCUUAAAAGUGAUGUCACACUAGUACCCUCUACUCAAUGCCGACACAAAACUGAACAAAAUAUCUGAUUUAUUUUCCGAUCAGGAAUCCUGUUGGGUACAUUCAGCCUACCUGUGUCUUCGAGUGGGUCUGUGUUACGCCGUCGUGUGUUUUCAAGUCGCAGGUUGAUCAGAAAGCUGAUGAGCAGAUGUUCUUGACUGCAUUCACUCACUUCGCACAGACAAUUAUCUCAUGAUUUCCGACGAGUCGGGCACAUGCUUCAAAAGGUUAACCCGUGGUCGGGAGCAUGUUUUGCAACCCGCUGAUGGUCUUAUCUGAAAAUUCCUAACUACUUCCAUUUGCUCUGCCGUCACGCAUGGUUAUAUCUUAAACUUGUGAAGAUGGCGUAAGCCAGACCGUCGACUCGACGCCAGCUGGAUUUUCUUGCUAUUUGAUGCGUUUUAGAUCGCUUGGGUUUGUGUUCUUUAUGUAGUCUUUGCACCUGGACCAAAUUCCAGAAAACUGUUUGCACGUGUGAUGGAUCUUUGACUUUAACACACAUUCUUCUUCAGCAGACUUUGUUAGCGGCGCUUAUUAGCCUUGCCAUCUUCCUCCUCCUCCAACAGCAUCAAAGUAGCUCUUCAAAGAUAGCGUGCGCCCCCAUUGUAUUCCAGCAAACAAACGCCACUACAUUGCCCUUCAGACCUUUUAAAGAUGAACAGAGGCGAAAGUCGCCAGGAGAAUAUAACGGGGGAUGCAUUUGUUGUGUUUGAUAUCAUCGACAUGGAGAGGACAAUCGAGGUGCAGAGGGACGUCUCAAUGGGAGAGUUCACGACAAAUGUUUUCAGCACAAAUACGCCACUUUGUUCUCUUUGCCGGCGCACUCCGGGAUCUCUGGAUAUGAAGAGAGCAAGUGAUUGCGGUGCUAGAAUUUGGGAGAAUGUUUGCGUCACCAAGUGGCGUAAUCACCACUUUAACGAUGUAAAGGAGCCGUUCAAAGUUCGAUGGCUUUAAGCUAAAAAGUGGCGCCGUUUGCGGACGUUUCAUCGUCUAAGUUGGUUCAAGUCAGUUACUGCUCUCUGGUAUCAGGAAUUGACAGUUUCCAUCAUGGCUAUGACGCACAGAGGCAACUUCAAAAAGUGCCCACUCUGUGGCGAGAACGCAAGUUUUCUUUGUUUGGUCUUCGGAGUUGAUUUAUUACAUUCUAAAUGAAACUUUUGUUAGCUGAGGAUAUUACAUUUGCGACACGGUGAAGAGUGUGUCGCAUCUCGUGAAAUGCGAUUUCUAUGUUUUGUUUGUG